GUGCUCUCGGCAUUACUGACUCAAACAAAAUUAGUCUAAUGAUUCGUUAUUUUGACUGAACGGGUCGAAAAGAUUUUCAGUAAAAAGAGCCGAACUUCCCAUCACUACUAUAAACACACCAAUGGCAAAUUACUUCCCGCUAACGAGAGACUUGCAUUUCAGAGGCCACACCCCACUCGUAUGUACAGAAUGGUCUAAACUGUUUUAAGCACAGUAAAUGUACUGAACAUUUAUUGUGUUAAAGCUAGAAUCUCUAGUUGCUACAUCCAUUUUUGGACUUAAAUUAAUUAAUGAUAGGGUACUACUGGGUAACUGCCCCCACCACCUUAGAACAACGUCUAAUUGAUGACACAAAAAAUAAACGUUUGGAAAACAAUUGGUAUGUGGAUGGUCAUGCUUCGGCGAAUAAACGAUAAAAGGAAAUAAAUGGCUACAGUUUACACUUUUUUUAGUUAUUUCAUGAAAUGUUUUUAGAAAAAUGAUUUUCUUUUAAAGUACCAGGUCACCUCCCCCCUCCCCCCGUGGGGUAACUGGCACCUGGGGACAGUCAGUGCUCAAGUACAUAGCCAAUGAGCGUACAAGGUCAACAUUUGUGGCCAAUAGGAUCUCUGUUAUCAGAUAGAACACAUCUGCAUCACUGUGGAGGUAUGUGGAAACUAGUUUCUGGAGUGCAAAAGGUAGAUCCAUGGCCCAGUGUUUUUUUUAACCUUUAUUUAACUCGGCAAGUCAGUUAAGAACAAAUUCUUAUUUUCAAUGACAGCCUAGGAACAGUCGUUCUGAUACCUGAACAGCCUUUUUAGGGGCAGAACGACAGAUUUGUACCUUGUCAGCUCGGGGAUUUGAACUUGCAACCUUCCCAUUACUUGUCCAACGUUUCACUGGCAAGAUGACAGUCCACACUGCAAGGUCUCCCGUAUCAUGUAUUUGACAGUUUGUUCCUGUUUCCAGGUGGACUCCCUGGGUGCUGGUGUAAUCUGGAAGCUACGUGCCUGUUUCAUAGCUUGUUGAACUUUGGAAGUUAAGUGUUUUUUUUUCCAGUGUUGGAUUGAUGUUGUUGCAGUUAUGUCAGAGGCCAUCCUCACCUUCCAGUACCAGCUCAAUGGAGUCAUGGAAACAGUCCUCAAAACCGCUGUGCAUGAGAUCACUCGGCUGGUGAAGUACAGCUUCCUAGAAGAAGUGACCGGGAGCAAGCGGGAAGUUGACGUCUUGAAGGAGAGGCUGCAGCAGCGUGAACACAGAUGAAGGGAUGGAGAGGAGAAGAGGAGGGAAGAUAAAGAGCAGAAAAAGAAGAGGGAAGAGUGCGAGCCGAGGGGGAUGUGUUGGAGAUGUGGUUGUGCUGGAGACACUGAGGAGAGAGAAGAGGCUCUGUUAGCAGAGGAAGGUUGUGUUAUCAAACAGGAGAUCUUCCAGUCAGGUGGACCCAGCACUCUCCCAGAGAGGGUCCACAGGAAAUGGCCACACCCAUCUCUUCCUGUGUCUCUGAAAGGAUGGAAGAGAGGGAGGCACAUGUCGUCCGCAUCAAAGAGGAGCCUGAUGACUGGGGGGGAUCUGAUUACCCAGAUGAUCACAUCCACAUAUUCCCCCAUAAUGAGCCAGAGUCGUCUGGAGAGAUUGAAGUCACAACAUGGGGCCAGUGAGCUUCUUCCUACAGUACCAGCACCAUGGACCAGGAAAGAGCAGCACCUACUCCCAAGGUCAGUGUGGGAAGAGCUUCCCUCAGCUCCGAAACCUGAAAGACCACCAGAAGUACCACCACACAGGGAAGAAGGCCUUCACCUGCUCCCAGUGUGGUAUGGGUUUUGUGUACGUGUGCCACCUCAGGGUACACAUGCAGCGCCACACGAGGGAGAGGGCCUUCACCUGCUCUCAGUGUGGGAAGGGUUUUGUGUACAUGUGCCACCUCAGGGUACACAUGCAGUGCCACACGGGGGAGAGGCCGUUCAGCUGCUCUCAGUGUGGAAAAAGCUUCAGCCUUCAGAGCGGCUUGAAGAGACGCAGGGUCCUUUACACUGCAGAGAUGCCUUACCACUGGUAACAGAUUCAAUUCUAGAGCGGACCUGAAAAGACAUGAACAGAUAGAUUCAUGCAGCAAGGUACACCUUUGAGAUGAGGCAGGUUGAUUGGGGGGGGAUAACUGCCCACGUGUACUAUGUUCAAUGUAUCUAUUAGUUGCUGAUUCAUUUAAUGUUGAAAGGAAUAAAACUCUUUGA
ensembl:lncRNA